CCUACGGUGGCAGCAGUAGGGAAUUUUCGGCAAUGGGGGGAACCCUGACCGAGCAACGCCGCGUGAAGGAAGAAGGAAUUCGUUCUGUAAACUUCUGUUAUAAAGGAAGAAAGACGGAUGGAGGAAAUGCCAUCCGAGUGACGGUACUUUCUGAGAAAGCCAAGGCUAACUACGUGCCAGCAGCCGCGGUAAUCCGUUGGUGGCAAGCGUUUUCCGGAAUUUUUGGGCGUAAAGGGGGAGCAGGCGGCAGCAAAGGUAUGUGGUGAAAGAUUGAAGCUUAACUUCAGUAAGCCAUAGAACACGGGCAGCUAGAGGGCAGGAGAGGAGCGUGGAAUUCCAGGUGUAGCGGUGAAAUGCGGAGAGAUA
rnacentral:rRNA from 1 species